rnacentral:rRNA from 1 species
AACGCGAAGAACCUUACCCAGGCUCGAACGGCAGAUGACAUCCUACGAAAGUAGGCUCCCGCAAGGGCAUCUGUCGAGGUGCUGCAUGGCUGUCGUCAGCUCGUGUCGUGAGAUGUUGGGUUAAGUCCCGCAACGAGCGCAACCCUUGUCUUCUGUUGCCAUCGGGUCAAGCCGGGCACUCUGAAGAGACUGCCGGUGACAAACCGGAGGAAGGUGGGGAUGACGUCAAGUCAGCAUGGCCUUUAUGUCUGGGGCCACACACGUGCUACAAUGGCCGGUACAAACCGUUGCAAACACGCGAGGGUGAGCUAAUCGGAGAAAGCCGGUCUCAGUUCGGAUUGUAGGCUGCAACUCGCCUGCAUGAAGUUGGAAUCGCUAGUAAUCGCGGAUCAGCACGCCGCGGUGAAUACGUUCCCGGGCCUUGUACACACCG